rnacentral:rRNA from 1 species
UACGUAGGUGGCAAGCGUUGUCCGGAUUUACUGGGCGUAAAGAGCGCGCAGGCGGUCGGCCAAGUCGAGUGUGAAAGCCCCCGGCUCAACUGGGGAGGGUCAUUCGAUACUGGUCGACUCGAAGGCAGGAGAGGGGAGCGGAAUUCCCGGUGUAGUGGUGAAAUGCGUAGAUAUCGGGAGGAACACCAGUGGCGAAGGCGGCUUCCUGGCCUGUUCUUGACGCUGAGGCGGCGAAAGCUAGGGGAGCAAACGGGG